rnacentral:pre_miRNA from 1 species
AAUAUUUCACGUCGUUGACUUUUUUACACAUGUUUGACCAUUCGUCUUAUUCAAAAAAUUUAUAUAAUUAUUAACUUUUUUAUCAUUUGAUUUAUUAUUAAAUCUACUUUUAUUCAAACAUAUAGUUUUACAUAUUUCAUAAAAAUUUUUGAAUAAGACGAACGGUCAAACAUGUGUCAAAAAGUCAAUGGCGUCAAAUAUU